GGUCUAAUAGUGUAGUGGUUAUCACACGGGAUUUUGAAAUAAUCUUCCCGUAACUCAGGUUCGAAUCCUGGUUAGACCU